rnacentral:lncRNA from 1 species
AUUUGUAUAUGUAAGUUUUGUUGUUAUCUAGUUAGGUUUGGUAUGCUUAUCCAUUCAAUACCUUGUAAUCUAUAAAUACUCAAUUCUAUCAAUAAACAUCGACACAGUAUUUUUCGUAUCAAGAAUUCUGUCAUGGUAUCAGAGCAUUUCUAAUCACAGCUCCCUCAUUUUGUUUUUUUCCCCUCUUCUCUCCGCAAAAACUGUUACCAAGAUGACAACCAAUCCAACCACAACCUCCACUACCAAUCCAUUAAUUCACAAUACCAGUGAACCAAAU